rnacentral:rRNA from 1 species
GAUGAACGCUGGCGGCGUGCCUAAUACAUGCAAGUCGAGCGAACAGAUGAGGAGCUUGCUCCUCUGACGUUAGCGGCGGACGGGUGAGUAACACGUGGAUAACCUACCUAUAAGACUGGGAUAACUUCGGGAAACCGGAGCUAAUACCGGAUAAUAUAUUGAACCGCAUGGUUCAAUAGUGAAAGACGGUUUUGCUGUCACUUAUAGAUGGAUCCGCGCCGCAUUAGCUAGUUGGUAAGGUAACGGCUUACCAAGGCAACGAUGCGUAGCCGACCUGAGAGGGUGAUCGGCCACACUGGAACUGAGACACGGACAAGACUCCUACGGGAGGCAGCAGUAGGGAAUCUUCCGCAAUAGGCGAAAGCCUGACGGAGCAACGCCGCGUGAGUGAUGAAGGUCUUCGGAUCGUAAAACUCUGUUAUUAGGGAAGAACAAAUGUGUAAGUAACUAUGCACGUCUUGACGGUACCUAAUCAGAAAGCCACGGCUAACUACGUG